GGUUUCCCAGCUCGUCCGGUAAACUUUCGAACUUGUUACCAUCCAACCUCAGAAUUCCUAGCUGUGCAGCGUUCUUGAUAUCGGAAGUCACACUGCCGUUGAGCCUGUUGGAAGAGAGCUCCAAGACGGUCAGGUUGGGGGAGGCCCAGAGCUUUGGCGGAACAGGGCCUUCGAGAUGGUUGUCUUGCAGCCUCAAUCGCACCCAGCUUUUGCAAUCGCUGAAGCUCUCAGGAAUUCCUCCCGACAGCAUGUUGCCGUACAGGCUCAGGUUUUGCAGAGCAUUUCCACCGCAGAUGAAAGGUGGCACACCUCCGGUAAGUUUGUUUUGUGAGAGUGUGACGUAGCUGAGCCUGGCUUUUUUUCCUAGGGACUCGGGGAUUUUGCCUGUCAGGUUGUUUGCGAAUGCUGUGAAUUCUUCGAGGUUUUCCAAAUCCGCAAGACUUUCUGGGAUGCUCCCUGUCAGGCGAUUCAAGUGGAGAUGAAGUAUCCGCAGAUUUUUUAUCCCUCCAACCUGUGUAGGAAUGCUGCCAGUUAAAGCGUUCUCGGAGGCAUCCAAGUCGGUAAGCAGCAUGAGGUUGCCAAUCUCAUAUGGAAUCUGACCCGAGAGCUUGUUUUUGUAGAGCUCGAGCAUCUUCAGCUUAGGAAGGUACAUGAGCUCAACAGGAAUGCUGCCGGUGAGAUUGUUGGACUGGAGCUCGAGGUCUUCGAGCUCUUUUAAGGCACCUAGCUCGGGUGGAAU
rnacentral:lncRNA from 1 species